rnacentral:rRNA from 1 species
AGUUUCGGUGGUUAUAGCGGCGGGGACACGCCCGGUCCCAUUCCGAACCCGGAAGCUAAGCCCGCCAGCGCCGAUGGUACUGCACCCCCACGGGUGUGGGAGAGUAGGACACCGCCGAACACAAACCAC